GUGCCAGCCGCCGCGGUAAUACGUAGGUCCCGAGCGUUGUCCGGAUUUAUUGGGCGUAAAGCGAGCGCAGGCGGUUAGAUAAGUCUGAAGUUAAAGGCUGUGGCUUAACCAUAGUACGCUUUGGAAACUGUUUAACUUGAGUGCAAGAGGGGAGAGUGGAAUUCCAUGUGUAGCGGUGAAAUGCGUAGAUAUAUGGAGGAACACCGGUGGCGAAAGCGGCUCUCUGGCUUGUAACUGACGCUGAGGCUCGAAAGCGUGGGGAGC
rnacentral:rRNA from 1 species